UGGGGGAUAUUGCACAAUGGGCGAAAGCCUGAUGCAGCGACGCCGCGUGGGGGAUGAAGGCCUUCGGGUUGUAAACUUCUUUUUCUCUGAACAAGGUAUGCUUUUGGGGUGUGUUGAGUGUAGGGGUUGAUUAGCGCCGGCUAACUACGUGCCAGCAGCCGCGGUAAUACGUAGGGCGCGAGCGUUGUCCGGAAUUAUUGGGCGUAAAGGGCUUGGAGGUGGCUGGUUGCGUCUGUCGUAAAAGCUGAUGGCUUAACUGUGGGUUUGCGGGGGGUACGGGGUGGGGUGAAGGCAAGAGGGGAGGGGGGAAUUCCUGGGGGAGGGGUGGAAUGGACAGAUAUCAGGAGGAAAACGGGUGGCGAAGGCGGGUCUCUGGGCUGUUACUGACGCUGAGGAGCAAAAGCGUGGGGAGCGAACAGG
rnacentral:rRNA from 1 species